UACAUCUUCAAAAAAAAACCCUAUGUUCUUCCCCAUAAAGAAAAUGGCAGCCAUUCUCCCCUAAUCUAAAAUUUCAAACAUUGAUGUUCUCUUCUUCUAUUUCAUCACAACCAUUUCAAAAAAAAAAAAAAAGAUUGAAAUAUGUUUGGGUAAGCUUCAUACAACGUAAAGGAAGCUUGAGAAUUGAUUGGAGGUUCAUUUUGUGCUCCGUGUACUACUUAGUUUUUAAUGAUGCUCAUGAUGAUGUUGUUGGGGAAGAAAUUGAAAAGCCCUAAUCAAGGUUUUGUGGUUAAUCAUCAAGGUUCUAAAUUGAAGGGAGAACACGAUUUCUUCCAAGUGUUGAUUGGUUUGCUGGCUAGCUAGAGUGUUAUGGUCAGAAAACAUACUCAAUGGAUGAGAUCAACGAAGUGCGUGAAGAAUGGGUCUCCUACUUAACUGAGUAUAUGCCAUGAUUUAGAUUAAAUUUUAUUAAGUAUAUAUGACUGAUUAUAUUUACUGUCAAACUUUUGAACUAAUUACAAUAUAUAUUAUUAUGUAAUACUUUAUUAUAUUAAAAGAUGAAUUACAUACUAUUGAAAGUAUUGAAAUAUUAUUUUGCAAAUUAUAUUUGAAUUGGAAGUUUUUGUAUGCAAUCACAGUAAUAGAAGGGAGAAUUAUUUUUUUCCACCA